GAUGAACGCUGGCGGCGUGCUUAACACAUGCAAGUCGAACGAUGAAGCCCAGCUUGCUGGGUGUAUUAGUGGCGAACGGGUGAGUAACACGUGAGUAACCUGCCCUUAACUCUGGGAUAAGCCUGGGAAACUGGGUCUAAUACCGGAUAGGAGCGCCUACCGCACGGUGGGUGUUGGAAAGAUUUAUCGGUUUUGGAUGGGCUCGCGGCCUAUCAGCUUGUUGGUGAGGUAAUGGCUCACCAAGGCGACGACGGGUAGCCGGCCUGAGAGGGUGACCGGCCACACUGGGACUGAGACACGGCCCAGACUCCUACGGGAGGCAGCAGUGGGGAAUAUUGCACAAUGGGCGAAAGCCUGAUGCAGCGACGCCGCGUGAGGGAUGACGGCCUUCGGGUUGUAAACCUCUUUCAGUAGGGAAGAAGCGAAAGUGACGGUACCUGCAGAAGAAGCACCGGCUAACUACGUG
rnacentral:rRNA from 1 species